GGCGAACGGCUGAGUAACACGUAAGUAACCUGCCUCCGAGUGGGGGAUAACUUGUCGAAAGACAGGCUAAUACCGCAUAGAGUAAUCAGGGACUGCCUGAUUACCAAAGCUUUAGGGCGCUUGGAGAGGGGCUUGCGUCUGAUUAGCUAGUUGGCAGGUUAAUAGCCUACCAAGGCGACGAUCAGUAGCUGGUCUGAGAGGAUGCCCAGCCAGAUGGGGACUGAGAUACGGCCCCAACUCCUAUGGGAGGCAGCAGCAAGGAAUAUUGGGCAAUGGGCGAAAGCCUGACCCAGCGACACCGCGUGAGGGAAGAAGGCCUUCGGGUUGUAAACCUCUUUUCUCGAGGAAGAAUUUUGACGGUACUUGAGGAAUAAGUCUCGGCUAACUACGUGCCAGCAGCCGCGGUAAUACGUAGGAGGCAAACAUUAUCCGGAUUUACUGGGCGUAAAGAGAGCGUAGGUGGUUCCCUAAGUCAGAUGUGAAAUCUUCUGGCUCAACCAGAAGAUGCCAUUUGAUACUGUGGAGCUUGAGGGCAGCAGAAGGAAAUGGAAUUCCCAGUGUAGCGGUGAAAUGCGUUGAUAUUGGGAAGAA
rnacentral:rRNA from 1 species